rnacentral:rRNA from 1 species
GAUUACGGGGAGCAGCAGGCGCGAAAACUUUGCAAUGCACGAAAGUGUGACAAGGGAACUCCAAGUGCUUAUACAAUGUAUAGGCUUUUGCUAAAUGUAAACAGUUUGGCGAAUAAGUGGUGGGUAAGACGGGUGCCAGCAGCGCGGUAA